rnacentral:rRNA from 1 species
CCUACGGGUGGCAGCAGUGAGGAAUAUUGGUCAAUGGACGAGAGUCUGAACCAGCCAAGUAGCGUGAAGGAUGACUGCCCUAUGGGUUGUAAACUUCUUUUAUAUGGGAAUAAAAUGUUCCACGUGUGGGAUUUUGUAUGUACCAUAUGAAUAAGGAUCGGCUAACUCCGUGCCAGCAGCCGCGGUAAUACGGAGGAUCCGAGCGUUAUCCGGAUUUAUUGGGUUUAAAGGGAGCGUAGGUGGAUUGUUAAGUCAGUUGUGAAAGUUUGCGGCUCAACCGUAAAAUUGCAGUUGAAACUGGCAGUCGUGAGUACAGUAGAGGUGGGCGGAAUGCGUGGUGUAGCGGUGAAAUGCUUAGAUAUCACGAAGAACUCCGAUUGCGAAGGCAGCUCACUGGACUGCAACUGACAUUGAGGCUCGAAAGUGUGGGUAUCAAACAGGAUUAGAUACCCCUGUAGUC